rnacentral:tRNA from 1 species
GCCGAAGUGGCGGAACUGGCAGACGCGCUAGCUUCAGGAGCUAGUGGGGGAAACCCCGUGCAGGUUCAAUUCCUGUCUUCGGCA